rnacentral:rRNA from 1 species
UCUACGGGACGCAGCAGUCGAGAAUAGUCUACAAUGGACGAAAGUCUGAUAGUGCGACGCCGCGUGAACGAAGAAGCCCUUCGGGGUGUAAAGUUCUUUUAUAUGUGAGCAAUGCUUCUUAGGUGAAUAGUCUGAGGAGAGAGAUAUUAGCAUAUGAAUAAGCAACGGCUAACUCCGUGCCAGCAGCCGCGGUAACACGGGGGUUGCGAGCGUUGUCCGGAAUUACUAGGCGUAAAGGGCAGGUAGGCGGAUAGAUAAGUUUGAUGUUAAAGGCGACGGCUUACCCGUCGUAAGGCAUUAGAUACUGUUUAUCUGGAAUGCGGUAGGGGAAGACAGAAUUCCUGGUGUAGCGGUGGAAUGCGCAGAGAUCAGGAGGAAUACCGAAGGCGAAGGCAGUCUUCUAAGCCGUAAUUGACGCUAAACUGCGAAGGUGUGGGUAUCAAACAGGAUUAGAUACCCUGGUAGUCCACACAGUAAACGAUAAUCACUAGGUGUCGGGUUCGAAGAGGAUUCGGUGCCGUAGCUAACGCGCUAAGUGAUUCGCCUGGGGAGUACGAUCGCAAGGUUGAAACUCAAAGGAAUUGACGGA